rnacentral:rRNA from 1 species
AGCGAACGCUGGCGGCAGGCCUAACACAUGCAAGUCGAACGGACCCUUCGGGAUUAGUGGCGGACGGGUGAGUAACACGUGGGAACGUGCCCUUUGGUUCGGAACAACUCAGGGAAACUUGAGCUAAUACCGGAUGUGCCCUUCGGGGGAAAGAUUUAUCGCCAUUGGAGCGGCCCGCGUCUGAUUAGCUAGUUGGUGAGGUAACGGCCCACCAAGGCGACGAUCAGUAGCUGGUCUGAGAGGAUGAUCAGCCACACUGGGACUGAGACACGGCCCAGACUCCUACGGGAGGCAGCAGUGGGGAAUCUUGCGCAAUGGGCGAAAGCCUGACGCAGCCAUGCCGCGUGAAUGAUGAGGGUCUUAGGAUUGUAAAAUUCUUUCAGCGGGGACGAUAAUGACGGUACCCGCAGAAGAAGCGCCGGCUAACUUCGUG